AAAAAUCACCAACAUAGUGUGAGGGUCAGGGAGGAGAAAGGUAUUUCCAAAUAAAACCUGUGUGUGUCUGGAUGGCCUCAGAUUCAGCCAGUGACCUUUCCUUUCCUGGCGAAGUCCUGUAUCCAGAAGGAACUGACAGCUAGGUGAAGAUAAAGAGCAUUUGUGGAGGAGGAAGGCAGAUUCCACCUCCACAGCUCCAACUGUGAGGCCUCACCAAUAAACAGAGGCAUCAGCAUUUGUAUAGAAGAAUGAGGAAGGAGAGCUUGCUCCAUAUGCACUUUCAUCUGGAGCUGCUGGAUCCAUACCCAGCACUGGUGUGCAGAGCUGUUCCUGGCAAAGGAAGCUUACAGGCUGCCCAUCUACUUCAAGCCUACCUGGGAUACCUGUCUUUAAUUGAUAUUAAAGCCACAUUUGCAGCAUGAUCCACCUAAAGUGGUAGAUGUGCUUAGCAGAGGGAGCAAUAGAAGUAAUGACAUGUAUUUUGUGUGAUUUUCCACCAGGGAUGGACCAGUUCCUCUAAAUGGAUUACUUCAUUUACAGGGAUAAUCCCCCCCA